CUCGGUAUCUGUUAAUUUGGCAAAUUUCGGUGAAUGUGGACAAAACUGCGGAAUGCUUGAAAUUCUGUUAUAAUAAGCAUACAUAUAUAUACUAGCACUUUACGUUCGCCCAUUUACUUCACGGUAGGUAACACUUCAACGCAGAACUGUUUUACUUGUUGACGUAUCCUCUGUAUCCAAUAAUUUUACAAAUUUCGGUGGCUGGAUCAAAUUGAGGAAUACUUACAUUUUAAUAUAACAAACAUACACAUAUACACAUACACUUUACGUUUGCCCGGUUACGUCACGGUAGGUAACACUUUUACGAAGAACUUUUGUUAACUAUUGACAUAUUUUCUGUAUAUCGAAUCAUUUUGACAAAUCUCGGUGACGGUGGAUAAAACUGUGGAAUGUGCCAAACUCUGCUAUAUUAAAAUACAUAUAUAAAGAUACACAAUAAGAUCGCCCGUUUACUUCACUGUAGGCAACACAUUUAUGAAGAACUUUAUCACAUGUUGACGUAUUCUCGGUAUCUAAUAAUUUUGAAAAAUCUCGGUAUCUGUCGAUAAAAUUGCGGAUAGCUUUAAACGUUGCUAUAACAAACAAACGCAUAUAUACAUACACUUUACGAUCUAACGCUUUCUUCACGGCAGGUGAC
rnacentral:lncRNA from 1 species